rfam:Bacillus subtilis subsp. spizizenii TT-B-10, complete genome.
AGGCCGGCGCGAUACUCCCUAUAACAUCCUUUUCAGUAGAUUUCAUUAUCGUGCCGGUUUUCUCACAUGCAAAGCAAUCCCGCCAAUCUAAUUGAUGGCGGGAUUUGAU